AGUACCUGCAGUCGCACAUGAUGCAGGUACAGUGCAUGUGUGGGAAUCUGACAGUCUGUCGUUGGUGGCUGACCUCCAGGUUCACAUACACAAUAGCUGAAUUUGCAGAGCUAGCGAUCAAACCGAUGGACAGAUAUGCAGGGACAGACUGGCAGAGACAGGGAGUCUCAGGAGACAGAUUGUGAGUCAGUGAGGGUGGUGAAAGGAAGAGUCACAGCAGAAGAAACUCCGACUGUCUCUGGUAUGCAGGCUGCAGUCGAGUGUGUGCUGUCAUCUCUUAGGGGCAAGAGAAAUGACGAAAGCUACCUUGCACUGUAUGAGAAAUCAACACACUCAAGACGAUUUGCUGGCAAAGCAGUGGAUCACUAUAGGGCAGAAUGUUUUUAAGUGUUGGAUGCUGUGGAGGUUCAGUUUGGCGACUGAUUUGACCAGGACAGUCUAAACUUCCUGCAAAAAUUGGAAAGAGCGCUUCUCACGGGGGAGUUGGAUGAGUAUCUAGAUCAGUACCCUGAGCUAAACAUAGAUUCUCUUUCAGUGCAGUUGCCUCUCUUUCGCAACAAAUACCCCUGUAGCAGCAGUGGAGAGGCAGCAGAGGUCAGGAGGCUUCCAGUGGAGGUGCGGGGGUUGUUUGACCAAGUUAAGGUGCUGAUCAGAAUUUUGUUUGUGGUGCCAGUGUCUUCAUGUGAGGCUGAGAUGAGUUUCAGUGCACUCCGCAGGUUGAAGACUUGGCUACGGGCUAGCAUGGGCCAAGAGAGACUGAACGGCGUAGUUGUCUGUAAUGUACAUAAAGUCAGUCUGGACAGUCUAAAGAGGGAAAAUAUCUGCCAGCAAUUUGUUGGAUCCAUUGAAACCCGCAAACAUAUGUUCGGAUCUUUUGUUCAUUUGUUCAGUAGUGUGUACAGCAGUGGUUCUCAACUUUUUUGGGGUACUGGAACCCCUACAUAUUUUGAGGCAAGGCAGGCAAGG